rnacentral:snRNA from 1 species
AUACUUACCUGGCAGGGGAGAUACCAUGAUCACGAAGUUGGUUUUCCCAGGGCAAGGCUUAUCCAUUGCACUCCGGAUGUGCUGACCCCUGUGAUUUCUCCAAAUGCAGGAAACUCGACUGCAUAUUUUGUGGUAGUGGGGGACUGCGUUCUCACUCUCCCCUG